GCCUGCAUGAAGUCGGAAUUGCUAGUAAUCGCAGAUCAGCAUGCUGCGGUGAAUACGUUCCCGGGCCUUGUACACACCGCCCGUCACACCAUGGGAGUCGGUAACACCCGAAGUCGGUAGCCUAACCGUAAGGAGGGCGCCGCCGAAGGUGGGAUUGAUGACUGGGGUGAAGUCGUAACAAGGUAGC
rnacentral:rRNA from 1 species